rnacentral:rRNA from 1 species
GUCUGAACUCAGAUCACGNUAAGAUUUUAAAAGUCGAACAGACUUAAAAUUUAAACUACUGCACCUAAAUUUAUAUCUUAAUCCAACAUCGAGGUCGCAAUCUUUUUUAUCAAUAUGAACUCUCCAAAAAAAUUACGCUGUUAUCCCUAAAGUAACUUAAUUUUUUAAUCAUUAAAAAUGGAUCAAUUAUUCAUAAAUUAAUGAUUUAAAUUUUAAAAGUUAAUUAAAUUUUAAUAUCACCCCAAUAAAAUAUAUUUUUUUAUUAUAAUAAAAUUAUUCUUUAAAAUUAAAAUAAUAAAUAUAUAAAGAUUUAUAGGGUCUUCUCGUCUUUUAAUAAUAUUUUAGCUUUUUGACUAAAAAAUAAAAUUCUAUUAUAGAUUUAAAUGAAACAGUUAAUAUUUCGUCCAACCAUUCAUUCCAGCCUUCAAUUAAAAGACUAAUGAUUAUGCUACCUUUGCACAGUUAAGAUACUGCGGCCAUUAAAUAAAUUCAUUGGGCAGGUUAGACUUUAAAUUAAUUUCUAAAAGACAUGUUUUGAUAAACAG